rnacentral:lncRNA from 1 species
GUGGGUCUUGAGUCUAUUUGGCAUAGGCCCUUUCGGCUUCGGAUUUAACCGGGAAAGCAAUAACUUGGGCCGGAAAGGCAAGUACACCCGCAGACGCGACGAUGGGCAUGCCUUUUUAGUGCUCGUUGCCUGAGCACGGCAUGUGACAGUCAAACAUGCGGUUGCGGGAGGUCGAACUUAUUGUCUGUGCCCCCGCCUUCUUUGGGAGGAACGCCUGUCCCUCGCCUUAGACGUUAGGAUACACAAUGGAUCAAAACAUUUUGGGGACAGCAUGUGCCUGCCAGCGCCCUGGCAGCUCCGGAACGUGGCUCUGGUAAUCCUCCCAAGCGGGAUGCACCCAAGGGGCAUGGAAGCUCUCUUGCACUAAGCGGCACGG